rnacentral:rRNA from 1 species
AUUCGAUUUCNCGUACGGUGAAACCUGCGGCAAGGAUCAUUUACACGAUGUCCAACAUUCAAAACCUGAAUCUUACUGUGAGGACCACGUCAAUCGCAAGUGCGAUGUGGACUUCAAAGGUAGUUUUCUGCAUCACUUCGGCGGUGUGGGGCUCUGCCACCUUUAAACCCUUUCACAACUUAUCUGGAAUUAUUAAUGCGAUUUCAUUACGAAAUCUUUAUAUCACAACUUUUAGCGAUGGAUGCCUCGGCUCGGGUAACGAUGAAGGACGCAGCAAAAUGCGAUAAGCGCCGUGAAUGGCAGAAUUCCGUGAAUCAAGAGAACGCUGAACGCAUACUGCACUUUUAGGUCACUCCUGAAAGUAUGUCUGUUUCAGGGCGAUAAUGCAUAAAUGCUCCCAAUAUUCACAGUACACGUUUGUGUGUGUGAUAUCGGGAUGCGUUGUUGUGCGUCAGUGCAUAGGCUUUGCGCCCACUGACGCAUUAAAUUGAAGUAGAUUUGUCAGCAAACUUUCGCUGCUUGGUUUUCUAAAUCUAAUAGUGAAAGUGAGGCGAAUUGGCUUACUUCUUCUAAAUUGCAGAGUAAUGUCUGCUAUUGUUGCUUUUCGCAUGAAAUUAGACAAGGCUACCCGCUGAAUUUAAGCAUAUCAAUA